CCGCCCCGCCCGGCCGCCCCGCCCCGCGCCACCGCCCCCUACCCCCAGGCCGAGCCCCAGGGAGGGACCGCAAAGGGAGGGAGGUGGGAGGGAGGGGGCCGCGAGAGGGGCCGGCCGACCCAGACCGAGGGAGACCCAGCGGAGCGCACGCCCAGGAAGGAGAGAGCCGGAGAGCUCGGGAGACGAGACCCCCAGAGAUGGGAGCGGAGGGAUCCAGAGAAAGUUUACCAGGCACGGCUUUAUUUCCCCUUCGCUGCUCUGAGAGGAAAACGUUCUCCAGCCAAGAUUUGCUUCUAUUGCCAAGUGAUACGUGGACACAUCCUCCUUGGCAACCUCAGAGGCUGUGGGGUGGGUUGUCUUCCUAGUUAGGGGAAGAGAUGGAUGUCAGGAGGAGGAAAUGCUGCAGAGCACGGGAGAAAACCUGUACUGGGUGAGGGGCGACAGGGUGCCCUGGGUGUUGGGGACCAACUCUGGUGUGACAUGGUUCCUCUCUGAGCCUUAGGCUCCAACGUGAGUGAGGAAGGACUGAGCCGUUUCCAGCUCCUUCUCUUCGUUCUUUCGGGAAUAGAAGCCCAAGCCAUAGGGUGAACGGUCCCAAAGCUGAACUCUCCGCUGACUGUCUCUCUGGCCCGGCCACUCCCGGCAAGCCACUGCCCCUUUCUGGGCCUCAAUCUCUGAAUUAUCCCAAGGAGAUGCUGGCACUUGGCUCCCGGGAAACUGUGAGGACUGAGUGGGGGGUCUUGCCCCCCCAAGCACCACAGAGUCUGUUGGGGAGAAGCCCACAGUUCAUCCAGGCAAGGAGUGGGGGUGUCCAUGGAGGUGAAUGGGUGUCCCCAAGAGGCUGGGGAGAAUGCUUCCCACCGCCCCCCCCCCCCCCGCCCUCCCCUUGGGUCUCCUGUAGCUGGGGUCCUGGACCACUUCUCCUUCCCGUGUGAGCCCUGCCCUGGGCCCUCAGUGGUCACCUCUGGGAAAUGGGGCCUACCAUACCCACGGCCCUGCCCCACCUCAAGGCGACACAGUUUCUCUAGCUCCAGCUGCUGGCGGUGAGGCAUUGAGGCCCCCCUAGGCCCUGGCACCUGCCCCAGACGCUGUGUGGUCUGGGAGAUGGCCCAGAUUCUUGGUCCACAGGGACGAAGAGAAUGUCUUACCAGAGGCUCCGGCAGGACCCAGGCCCUAAGAGUGACUUUGGUGGGCUCCCCUCUAAACCUCCCAGCAGUCAUCAGACCUGAAAGGUGGCCGCCAGGUACUCCAGGCAUGGGUGGUCCUUGAGUGACAGGCUCUUCGGAAGGGGACAGUGUGGGACCCACUAAAAGUGAUGGUACCCCACACAGGGAAGGCCUCCCUCCCAGUGAUGGGAGAGAUUGUGGGUGGUCCUGUGCCCCCUGGGUUGGCCCAGCAGCCACUAGGCCAACAGAGAACAGCCAGUGUCUCCUGGAGCCCUGGGCAGCCAGCUAAGACCCCUCCCCAUCACAGGUGAGGGAAACCCCUCCCUCUUGAGUGCUUGGGUGUCACCCAGGCCAAACACCUGCUUUCUCAGAUGGGGAACUGAGGCCCAGAAAGAGGAAGGCGCAGGCCCAGGGACCACAGAAAGCAGAGUUGGUUUUCUAUUGCUCCCUCUCUAUGUGGUAUGGGGCGCAUUUUCUCUCACCUCCCCCCCAACCUGGUAGGACCCACCAGCCUCCUCCUCCUCCUCGCCCCCACAUCUUCCCAAGGACACCGCCUGGGUCUUGUUUGGUUGGAGGGUAGGCCCAGACCUUCACCUCCUCUUUGGGCCCCUGACUCAAGCCACCUGGCUAUGAACCAUCUCUGUCUGGGGCAACUGCUGCCCUGAGGGUCUCAGGUCCUCCAGAUGGAAGCUGGGCCGGAUCAACAGACUUGGGAUCACACUGAUCAGCCCUCACCCAGCCCAUUUUGUCCUCAGUGCGCCCUGGGGGGGGGGGGGGGAAGGGGGUUGGGUAGAAGUUCAUUUCAGGAUCCAGGCCUCACCUCUGGGUUUGAGUGAGUCAGGAGACUAACGCUGUUCAGCCCCCCAUCCCAUUUCACAGGUGCUGAGGCGGCAGAGUGCCCCCCCAGCUCCCUGGACACCCGCGGGGGCUGUUUCCUGGGGGCCUGGGCCGAGGCCUGAGCGCAGGCGGCCACGGGAAUGAGGCCCCGGGCUCUUUGGGGAAUGCCCUGCUCGGGCGGGAGUAUUCCGAGGCCUUGACUGGCCCAAAGGGCUGAAAGAGCCCAACCCCCGCCCUGUCACCCCCCCCAAGGCCCUCCCCUAGGUGGGUAGGCCUGUGAUCUCGCCCCCGCAGGCACGGUCUCCCUCUGGCGCGAUCCCAAAGCAGACGCGCAGAUAAACCCCUUUUAGGCGAAAAAACUGCACACAGACAGCGGCGGGGCUUCCUCUGCCCGGGGAAUGCGGUGUCCUUGGCCGGCAGAGAGUCCCCAGAGAGCGGGUCCCACCUCCCCGCCGGGAACGGAGGCCUAGAGAGGAGAAGCGCCCUGGGCCUGGGCGGAGGGGCCCCCGCGCCCGGCCCCCAGCCCCCACCCCAGGGGCGCAGCCGCCGGGCGACGCCUGGGACCCGCGGGGCCUCCAGCCGCCGCCGCCGCGCAAAUCCCGGAAACGCUCCGCUCGCGGCGGGCGCAGUGGAAAAGGUGACCUCACGCCCGGGGCCAGCCGCUCUCUCCCGCGGCCGGGCGUCGGGGGGCUUCGGGUGGCGGGGGGUCCCGGCGCCGCCCGGACGCCGGGUGGGGCCCCCUCCCCACUGCUGCUCCGCUACUUGGACCCCACAGCCCGGCUGGAAGGGCGACGCGGGGGAGGGGGUCACCUGCCUCCUUAAACGAACCCCUCAACCCUCUGCUCCGGCGCGCAGGUCCAGACCAUCCCCCUCCAGCCCAACCGUCCUUCGCCCCCGGCGCCUCCGCGAAAGGGGGGAUCUGGAGCCUAUUGGGCGAUGGGUCCCGACCCCUGCACAGACCGGGAAGCUGAGUCUGGAACGGGCAGGACUGGGCAAGGCCGGCGGCCGGGGUCUGGGUGCUUCUGCGUUGCCCGGAGGGUCCUGGGCCCAGCUCCCCUCCAGCCCCCACUGCCCCGGCCGGUUUCCGUGAGUCCCUAUUUCUCCCACUUGCAGCGGGUUUGUAUCCUACUUUGCAAAACGGAAUCCAGAGCGGGAAUGGAGGGGAGGUUCAUUCCGGGCCGAUCAGCUCACCUCCGAGUGCGACCGUCCUGCCUGCGGGGCGUCCCACACCCUCCCCGCGGUCGACAGAACGGGAAACCCAGCCCCGACGGGCCUCGCCGGCCGCUCCCCUGCAGCUCCGAACCCGGCUCCUCCCCAGGACGCGCCGCGGCGACAGCGCCUGAACCGAGGGCAUCCUCCCUCUGCUUUCUUAAGCCCUCGGUUCCGAUCGCCCCCGGCCGGGGCGGCUGGUGGCGGGGGCGCCGGGCGGAGGCCGCCUGGACCCGGCUGGGAACGCACCGUCCGGCCUGAGCCCGCGCCCUCUCUUGCUCCUGGUGCCCGGAUCCAAGAUUGGUGACAUCUGUCCUGCUUCAAAACAGAAAGUCUUGGGGUUAAACUACCCCGUCUUCGCGCCCGCAGCCACGUCUCCGGGGCCGCGCAGGCACUUUUCUCGUUGGAGAAGCGGGUCUCUGUGCCGCCUUCCUUCACGAAAACUUCCAAGCGCGGACUUCUCGUUUUGAAACGCUUCAGACCCUGUGAGCUCAGGGGUCACGUCGCCUUUCGAGGCAGCGCCUUAAGACACACCGUUCUCUCUCCCCUUCAGAUCCCCCUCCUCGGGUAAUUCAAAGAUUUGUUCCUUUGGAAUCGGUGACUUUAUUUUUGUUUUGUAGCUAUUUUUUUGAAUGUGUAGUUUUCUUUAGAAGUGUGAGUUGUAAAAGGCAGAUCCGUAGGCGGGUAAUAGCUACCGUGACCCGACCCAGCUGGGACCCGGUUCUUGGUGGCCGGGGGACCAGGGCAACCCUGCGGGACGUGGCGCAGACCCAGGCGCUCCAGGCCCUUGGGCCGCCCCGCCCCCACUUCACGCCCACCCUCAGCCGGCGGCGGCUCAGCAGCGACCUUGGGUCCGAGUCCUGCGAACCCGGCGCCAGAGGCCACACCCGGGCCGGGCCUGGCAGCCGCCAGAGCUCAACUCCGUGGGGUCCGCGGCGUGCGCCGAGGGCGAGGCCGGGUGUGGGAGGCCUGGGGACCCCCGCGGAGCCCUCGAGAGCGUGCCCUGCGCUAAGGGCGCUGCGCGCUGGGGACAAGCGCGCCAGGCUGGGAGGUGAGUGUGACCCCCGCCCGGGUGCUCAUCCUGGACCCCACUCCGGCGCAGGGCCGCUCCGGCCUUCACGACGGGGCGCGUGCUGGCCCCCCAUCCUGGCAGGUGUCGGGUCGCCCCGUCACCGUCCCCCAAAGCCGCAGGACUGGAAGGAGAGGUCCCAGGGGGAGCCGGUCCCUCCAGCCGGACACGAGGCGCCGGGAAACGGCUGCGCGUUCUCUUUCUUUUUUCUUUUCCUUCCUUCUUUGCUCUCCUUUCUCUCUUCCUUCCAUUUGCUCUCUUUCUUUCUUCUUCCAUCUCUCACUCGGCCUCCUCCCCUGCUGCUCCUUCCUCUGUUGCUCUGCGCUGUCCUCUCCCCUUCCCCGCUGCCCCCCUCCCUUCCCGGCCUCCUUCAGUCAGAGGACAGAUCGGACCUCCCGAUAACGGGGGAGGGGGCUCGCGCUCCCCGGGGCCCCCAGGUGCCAGGCGCAGAGCCCUUGGAGGUUCUGUGGCCUGUGCCGUGGGCCGGGGUCUGCUCCCAGCCCUGCCCCCCAGCUGGGCGCGUUGGAGUAACACCUCCUCCAGGAUGUCUUCCAACAGCAGGUAGGAGACCAGCUGGCACAGCCUAGUUCAAGCGGGACUUGUACUUGUGCCUGCCCUCCCUGACACACGUCCCUUCUCCUCCUGAGGACUUGGGGGAGAGGGGGACCCACAGGGGACAGAGAGAGGCCACAGCUGCCCCACUUCUUGGAUGCCAGGCCAAGACCAGCCUCUGGUCCCCAGGCUGUAGGCCAGCCCGCCUCCUCCUGGUGUCUGAGCAGAGGAUGGCCCAGAGCCUGGUGCGCGUUCCCCUGGCACUGGGCUUUCCUGCCCCCCAUCCCACUGUGCUCCUGCACAGUCUCGUACCUGCCCCUCCAUGCUGGGACGCCUCAGGGGCCGUGAUGGGAAAUACCAAGUGCCUUGCAGAGCCAUGGGGGGCCCUGUGACCCCUGACUGCUGCCCUUGAGCAAGCCCAUUCCCUGCCCAAGGCUCAGUUUCCCCAAAUGAAAUAAUAGGGCUUGGACUGGAUGCAUCCUUCUCCUGCCAAUUUCAACAGCCUAGAUUAGGGGUCACAAAACUCUUCCUGUAAAAGGCUGGAGAAGUAGCCAUUUGAGGCGGCGGGGGUCACACAGGUCUGUUGCCGCGACUCCACUCUGCUGCUCAGGGUGAAGGCGGCCGCGGAUAACACCCAUGACGAGCGUGGCUGUGUUCCCCUCAGACUUCAUGGAUGCACACGAAACCCUGAAUUUCAUGUAAUUUUCACAUCACAUAAUAUUCUCGUUUUUAUUUGUUUCACCCACUUGAAAAUGUAAAAUCAUCCUCGGUUUAGGGGCUGUACAAAGACAGUCAGGGGCGGUGGUCUGCCGAGAGCCAGCCUAGGCUCAGUUCCCCGCACCAAUAUAUUCAUGUCCAUGUCAGAAGUGUUUCCUUAUCUAAAAAAUUUUUUUUAAAUUUUUUUCCCCACAAAAGCACCCAUUAGGUUUACAGUUUUGGGGCCUUAGAAACAUAACCCAUCUAUUCCCAUGUCUGAAUUCUCAAGAGUUUAAAAUCUUCCUGAUACUGGUAUUACACCUGGACACUGGACUGGAUGCCUUACACUCGUCAUCUCAUUUAAUCCCACGCUAGUCUGUGGAGUAGGGAUUGCUCACCUGCCUUUCUAGCUCCUUGCACACCCCUGAUGAUGGGGCGCUCACUCCCUUCAGUGGCAGUCCCAACCGACUCUGAGGGCUGACUCCUCUGGAGAACCCUGGCUGCUGAGAGCUGUGACCUGUGCGAAGGCCGCCGUGGGUGCGAGUGCUGCUCAGGGCCCAUCCUUUCUCAUCUUCCCUCAAUUCCAUCUAAAUCCUCUCCAGCUGUUGAAAUGCGGGCGGACAAGGGGGCCAGGGCCUUGACUUUCCCAAGCCCUGAGCCUUUGCAGGCCUUUGCAGCUGCCAUGUGACGAAUCUUGCAAGGAACAUGGGAAGGGAAAGACUAUGACAGAAAAAUAACUCUUAUAAACGUGUUCCUCGCUGUAAGUGUUUCCAGGAAAUCUAGCUCUCGCGGAGGCCGCGCGUGUGCGCGCACGCACACACACACACACACACACACACUCACUCACCCCCCACACACACAGCGCCUGCGUCUCCAAUGGCUCUUGCUCCCUCUGCUGGUCAGAUCGAGUCCUAACCAGGCUCGCUGGGACGGUCUUUCCUCUUGAAAAGGAAAAACAGCCCAGAACUUUCUCUCCCUUUUAUGUACCAGACACUUGCUGGAUGCUGAAGAGAUAAAGAAAAAAGCAUUUUAUCUGUCCUCAAGGAGUGCGACUUAGCUGUGGGGAGAGACAGACAGACAUGCUCACAACUGAUAGCAAGGGUGGGGGUGGAGAUGGACUUCCCAGAGCAGGUGACCUGCCAACCCAGCCUCAAGGGAGGAGGAGCUUCCAGAAACAGACGAGGUGUGCUCACAGCUUCUGGAGGGUGUUACUGUUCCAAUCAGUGGGCUGGCAGCACCCAAAAGGUUUUGCAUUCGAUAGUUCCGACAACAACUUGUCCUCAGCCAGGGAGUUACAAUCAUAGAUCCUCCUGGUGCCUAGGGACAGCUAUUGGAGACUCUGGGAAAAGUCUGGAGACCUAUGUUGUACCUACAUAACCAGAACUACCAUUAACAGACGUUGUAACUCCUGGGGGUGUCAUUGACUGUGCUGUGAAUGGCACUUCCUGGUUGUGCAGUGCACAACCCACACAACUGUGUCCAGCAGUCCUGCCAAUUAUUUGUUUCCUUGUAUUCUCAUAGAAUCAAAUGAGGUUGAAGAGGCUGUCAGCAUUAUGUUCUAUCACGUUCUGUAUGCCCCUUUCCAGACAAUAAGCUACAUGUAGAAACGGGCAGAAAACCUAUCCUAUCUGCACACUUCAUGUUAAAAGUCUACCUUCCUGAAAGUCUACUGCCUUGCUGUUUCAUGUGUUUAUUACAGAAUAGAGCAAAAUCUGUCUCUGGAAGUUUGAGUGAGGGCAGUGUGACAGGCUGGCUUCUAAGAUCGCCCCCUGGUGUACACGCCCUGUGUAAGGCCUCCCCUCCAACGUGGGUGGACCUGUGGUGUGCUAGGCCAUCACUGCCUGAUCCUGUUACCUUAUAUGGCAAAAGGGAUCCUGCUUGUGUAAUUAAGGUCCCUAGCUCUUUGGAGUGGAAUUGACCAAAAGGGAGCUUAUCCCAGAGCUGGCCUAACUAGACCAGCCCUUUCAGUGGGACUGGGGUUCUCCUGCAGGCCUCAAAGUGGCUGCCACGUUGUGAGGGGACCUACGGAGGGGCCACCGGGCCAGGACCCCAGGGCGCCGUCAGGAGCUGAGAGCAAGAAAAUAGGUUCUGUGGGCAGCCUGAGCGAGCUUCAAGGUGGGCCCGCCCUCGCCCGGGCCUCCUGAUGAGACUGCAUGCAGCCGGCCACCCCCCAGCUGCCACGUUGUGAGCACCCAGCUAAGAAAGGAGGGUGACCUGCUGAGGCCCACCAGCCUAUGCAGAGCCCUCGGUCGCUGGCCCUCGAGUGUGCUAGGCCAGGGUGUGGUGGGGCAGCACUGACGUCUGGAGUCCAGGGAGGGUUCACACGGAGAGUCCUCUGAGACCCCCCCAGCAGACCCGGCUGGGCCUUCGAGACCCGCCGAUGGCCCCUCCUUCAGGGACUUUCUGAGCCACGUCCCAGUGGGGCUGCUCCCAGCUGAGACCUGCAGCCCCCGCUUCCCUCUGCCACUUGCUCUCUUGUCCGCUGACAGGACGCCUAGCUCCUAGCAGGAGGAAGUGAGGGCCCAGGCGCUCCUGGCAGGGAGCCUGGCCCCCUGAGUGGGUGUGUGCCACUUAAGUGAACGAGUGAAGCAUCGCGAGGGUGACCGGCUGUGGCUGCGCGGCUCUCUCCAUGUCGCCGCAUGUCGCUCGGAGCCUCCGGGGCGGGGCGCACGGGCCAGCCUCUGGCAGAGGUCCGUGCCCAUGCCCCCAGCUGACCUCGGCCGCGGGGCAGGUGCUCUGCGCAAGGUGCCCCGCGUCUCGUCCGCAGCCAGGCCGGCCACCGAGCGGACCUCCGGGGCGGCAGCGGGAUGGCCGCGGGCGGGCGAGCGGGAUCGACGGGUGGGCGCGGUGGGCCGCCCUCGAGGGCUGUGCGCCCCGCGGGGAGCCCGGGGCCGCGGCGCGGGGAGGGGCCGUGGCGGCUCCUCCGGGAAGUCCGCGGUUCGCGCACCGAGGCCGGUGAGCUGGGAGACAGGCCGAGGCUCCUCUGCGCGCGGCCAGGCGGACAACGCGCCAGCAGAGCGGGUCCUGCGGGGCGUCCCCCAGGCCUCUGUCGCCGGGGCGGGGCGUGUCCCGCCAUCUCCAGCAACUGCUGCGGUCGCGGGGCUGCAAGGGCCUCGGACGCCACCUCUGUCCCGGCGCCAGGGACCCCGCAGCCCUCGCCGGUGUCCAGCGCAGCCCCCUCCGUGGAGCCCUGCUCUCCGGCCCCUCCUGCGCCGCCCCGAGGCCGAAGGCGCCGGGGCCUCCCCGGGCUGCGCCCCGCCGGCGGGCGCCCUCUCCUGGGCCUCCGUCUCCGGGCCGGGCCUCCUGCGAACGCCUUGGAGGCUGGCGGGCGGCACCCCUGUCACUCGCGGGGCGGCUCCGUGGUGUGGACGCAGCCGCUUCGCCCCUGGGCCUCCGUCCCGGCCUUCCUCCGAGGGUGGGGGCCGUGGGUGCCGGGUCCACGCGGUUCCCGCCGCCCCGCAGGGCUGGCCCGUGUCGAGGAUGCCUCUCCUCCACGCGGGCUCCCCUCUCCCUGCACCUCGUGCGCUCUCCAUCCCGUCUGGCCCGCAUGGACCUCCCCACCUCCUCACCCGCUCCCUCCCGCGUCCUCUGUCUCUUUCCAGACCCCACUCUCCAGCCUCAUCACUGUGGGGCCAUUGGUACAGCCCCCCCCCCCCACUUUCCCGAUGGAGAAACUGAGGCCCAGACAGGGGGCCCUCACUCCAAGCUACACAGGUGGUGGCAGAGUUGGAAGGACGUGUCCAUCGAGACAGGCGGCUGUGAAGUCGAGUUUGUCCCCCUCCUGCUGCCAGUCCCUCAGCAGAGCAUCUCCUGGGGGACCGCCGGCCACGGGGCAGCGGAAGAGGGAUGCCGGAGAGUGCCCCAUUGGUCACGUCCACUGGCAACUCGGCUGGAGGCAGGACAGUCCUGCCACACGCCCAGAAGGGUUGAGGCCAGCCCUGAGGACAGCACAGCUCGGAGCCCGGGGUCCCCCCCUCCAGGCCGCCGGCAGUGCCCAGGGCCUGGCCCUCCCUGUGAGGUGCGGGCGCCUCCCAGUCUGACAUUCUGUGACAAAACCAAUUCCUGCGUGUGUCCUGCGGUCACAGCUCCCUGUCAGCGCCGGCUCCGGCCAUCGCGGCCACGGUGGCCCAGCUCUCCCAUCUGUCCAGCGGGGACGGCGGCGGCCUCCCGCUCGGGGUCCCGAGAGAGGACGGAGGGGACUGAGCUCGCGGCGCUGAGCAGGACGCGGGCUGAGCACCAGCCGCACGAUCGGAGCCGCCGGGCGUUGGGAAGCCCCUGCCGGUGGACGCCGUGAGCACCUGCUGCCACCCGCAUGAGCCCUAAGGGUUUAGGAAGGAUUGUCCCCGUUUUUCUGGCUGGAAACUGAGAUUUGGAGGCGGCACAGACAUUGCCCGAGGAAGCCAGCAAGGACCCAGCCGAGAUUCGAACCCUGCGCCAGAAGGUCUGCCGGUGGCCGCCCGGCGGGGAACUUGGGGGCCAGGGCAGAGAUGAAACCGUCUAUACCAACACCCUGAGUGAGGGAUGGAGCGUGAGGCCGGGGCGGAGGCGGGGAGGAGCCCCGGGAGCCUCGCCCUGGUUUCCGAGGCCGCGUGGGCGAAGGCGGAGGCGGUUCCAGGCGUCCUGGGGGCCCGGCCUCCCCUCCACCGGCGCGCGGCUUGCGGGGGCGGCAGGCGGGAGGCAGAGCGGCGACAGGGGCCGAGGCUGCGGGUCGCCCUCCUAGCCCCCGGGGAGUCACCGCCCCAUCCCGUCGCGUCCCGCGACCCCAGCCCCCAGCUGUCUUGCGCAGGCGCAGUCUUGGGUGCCAGAUCUUGGGGUGAAGCCCGGCGCCUUCCCAGCAUCGGGGCGGGGGCCGAGGAGAUGCCCCGACUGGACCGAGGACUCGGGUGGACCCCCUCCCUCGGGCCUCAGCUUCUCCCCCGAGACGACGCCUGCGCAGAGGGUAUGAUGAACCAGGGUGGCCCCGGGACAGCCACGUCGGCGCGUGGAGGUUCCGAGGAGAGGAGGAGGGGGCUGUGGAGGGUGCCCCCCGCCCCGGCUCAGCCCAGCCUGGCGCUGACCCGCCGAGCCCACGCUGAGUGCCGGUGUGCACGGGAUGACCACGCGGCCGCCCCCCUCUGCCGCCUUCUCCUGGAGUGACGACUUAGCUCCCGCCGGUCACCUUCUCCAGCCCGCCGUCCGGUGGGACAGAGCUUUAGGGAGGGGGGUGUUUAUCUGUGUGCUAUGUGUUUGUUUAUUUUCUCUCUGCCACCAGGUCUUUAAGAUCCUUGAACAAGACUCACCAAGCCCCACCUCCACCCUAGCUGAGAACGUUAUGUUUUCUAGGGAGAUAGGGCAAAGUUCUGAUACUUAAGAAGGCUGAAGAGGAGGGUUCUAGAACAGGGCCAUCACUGCCUGUGUGUGUUUCCUGUGGCUGCCAUGAGACAGCACCACAGACGGGAUGGCUCAGAACAGAAACCUGUGCUGGAUAUUUGACCUGAGUUGGAUGUCGAGCUUUGAAAUGAGAGGUCCCAGAACAGGGCCGCUGCUUACAGUUGUGCAGGUUGUUCACUGUACGAGGGUGCCUGGCUCACAGUUCUGGAGGCUGGAAGUCCAAAAUCCAGGUGUGGGCAGGGCCGGGCUCCUUCUGAAGGCCCCGGGGAGGGUCCUUCCUCUUCUCCUCCACUUCUGGUGGCUGCUGGCAGUCCUUGGCUCGUGGCUGCAUCUCUCCCAUCUCUGUCUCUGUGGUCACAUGGCGGUCUUCCCCGAGUGUCUGUGUCUCCAAGUCUCCCUCCUUACAAGGCCUCCGGUCAUCGGAUCGGGGCUCACCCUAGUCCAGCCUGACCUCGACUUCACUGGUUACAUCUGCAAAGGCCCUAUUUCCAAAUAAAGUGACAUUCGCAGGUUCCAGAAAGUUGGGACUUUAGCAUAUCUCUUUGGGGGACACAAUUCACCCCACAACAUUGCCCACGUAGCAUUUUUGUACAAACGACAUAAAGACACCCCCUCAUGCAGGUAGGCACUGCUGGAGCAGCCAAGGACAGGCUGGGUUUGAGCCCCUCGCUCGCCCCUGAGCCAGGCACCCUUGUGCAGUGAACAACCUGCACAACUCUAAGCAGCGGCCCUGUUCUGGGACCUGUCAUUUAAAAACUUAACAUCCAACCCAGAUAAAAGGCCUAGACUGGAAUUUCAACUUCAACCUGGGCCGAAGGCGCUAUGAAGCCCAGGGAGGGGCCGAGGCAGGGUCUGCAGCAAGGCCAUAACGGGUACAUUUUCUGCACAGGAUUUAAGAGCAGUAACAAGCUGACUAAAAGUUAGUCUGCUUUUUAUUAUCACCACGCAACCACUAUUCCAAACAAUGUCAGUCGUCAAACACUCCUCCUGCCCACACCUCCUGUUGGUCUAAGUCCUAAACAGCUCCUGCUGUUAUCACUGAGUUUCUAUAACACACGUGGGAGCCCAGAUUAGCACACGCACUCUUCCCUUCUCGAGGACACGGUGGUCGGCGUGGAAGUCAUUUGGAGAGCGGGGGGCAUAUGCACCUGGGCCCGACAGACACACUUAUCCUGAAUUUGUGAGGUUUCGGGACCUCGGUUGGCGGCACGGCCCCUGUGGCGUCACACACCCCUGAGACCAACGGGAGAGUCAGUGUCCAUUCUGAAAGCACAGCAAGGGCGAAGAGAAGGACAGACCAGACGGGAGCUCCUUCAGACCUGCGUUCUCGCGGCCACUGGGAGUUUAGUGGGGUUUAAACCUCGAGACAGUGAACAGAGAGCCGUGUGAAGAGUGACAGAUGUGCGUCCCGGAUGCAGUGAUGGUCACCACACGUGUGAUAAAAUGGUGAGGAGCAGCCUGGGCGCACCAGCCUCAGCCUCCUGCCUCUGAUCUGGACUCACUGUAGUCAGUUAACCAGAGAGGUCACGACGGGGGCGUGGGGGACCGUGCACGGGGUCUCUCUCCGGCUUUGCGCCUUCCUUUGAAUCUAUAACACAGUUCAAAAUAAAAAGUUAGGAAGAUAACAGUGGACAAGAGUCAUCCCAGAAACCAAACACACAAAACAAUGACACCGUGCACAUUGCGAGGUGUGAUAGUUCUGUGUGAGCACCAAGUUAUUUUCUAUGUGAAAUGUUUCACUGAAUGUGAAUAGCUUUGAAAUAUAAAUUUAAUAUUCUUUUGAAAUUAUGCUGCUUAUUUAAUUUUUAUUCAGUUAUUGUUAAACCAUAGCAGACUAAUAGGUAGGCUGAAGAUUUUCCCCCUUCAAACAAUACACUAAUGUAAACUGUAAGUGUUAAUCCCUUAGUUUCUCCUAUUUUGUGCCACAAUAAUUUUCUUAGUGGCGUGAAGUUCAAUAAAACUUUGCGGCCUGAGUUGCCUUUUGCCGUGGCG
rnacentral:lncRNA from 1 species